GACGAACCGUGCGAACGUUAUUCGGAAUCACUGGGCUUAAAGGGCGCGUAGGCGGGCGGCCAAGUCAGGGGUGAAAGCCCCCAGCUCAACUGGGGAAGUGCCUUUGAUACUGGUUGUCUCGAGGGAGGUAGGGGCGUGCGGAACUUCCGGUGGAGCGGUGAAAUGCGUAGAUAUCGGAAGGAACGCCGGUGGCGAAAGCGGCGCGCUGGGACGGUACUGACGCUGAGACGCGAAAGCGUGGGGAGCGAACAGG
rnacentral:rRNA from 1 species